GAGUGGAGUAUAAUUAAAAUACUCCUAUUUUUCAAAAUUAACCAAUCACUAAAAUUUAAGGGUGUGACAGGGCAGUGACGCUGGUGAAAGCAGGAAUUGAAGAUUUGAGGAAGCGUCAUGUUUUAGCAUCAGUCGGAAAGGGGGACUCGUUAGAAACAGACGUAAAGUCGGAAAGGGGGACUCAUUAGAAACAGACGUAAAGUCGGAAAGGGGGACCCGUGAGAAACAGACAUAAAUUCGGAAACCGGGAGUUGAAAGAAACAGACGUAAAUUCGGAAACCGGGGUCGUAGAAUUAGCUGCAAAAAGUUACACACCGGGCUCCGAAGCAGUUAGACAUAAAGGUUACUGACAUUGAAACUGUAUCAAAAGUGGUUAAACAAGUGUUCAAUAUAAUUCGUCCAAACUUGAGAUGUGCUUGUGAUUUGUGUUAUUUAUUCCUUUUCUGAGUUGUGGCCCGUUCAAGGCUCUGAGAUAAGAGGUACUCAGCUCUACCAAACCAACAAAACCCCCUCCUUUAAAAUAACCCUGAGAUAAAUUUAGCAACAAGAAAGAAGAACCUACUAGAGGCGACCCAGCGUGAGAAGAAGGAAGGAGGUGAGGAAAAAGGGCGGUAAGAGAAUAUACUUCUUUGUAUGGGUACAAUUCCUCAGUAAUAAAUAAACUGAACACAAGAAACUCUCUGGACACUGAUGGGUGUGUAGCCUUCAACUUGGUGUUAGUUGUUGCCUGUUAAUUAGGCUGAAAUGAAUUGUGCAGUUUUUAUUUUUAAGAGGUAUAUCUGUUAUAUCUGAUUUGUCUUCACUCUUGAAGCUGUAUGCUUCAUCCAACAAACAUUGUGGGGUAGAUUACUGUACAUUUGGGAUGUCUUUGAAAAAUGCUGUUUGUAUCUCUGCAGCUGACCAUAAAUGUACACAUCCUUUGUGUUUCAUUAUUUACUAAUUUUCCUGUCCUUAGACACUGUAUACAGGGAAGUCUCUAUUUAAGGUUUCUGUAGGGAACAGUGGGAUUUAAUUUAAUUUAAUUUCCCCAGUUAUGAUGUAACAGUACUUCAGCUACAUCAUCAUCAUCAUCAUCACCACCGCCGCCGCCGCCGCCGUCAUCAUCAUGAAGCACCAGCUGCCGUCCUGUUCCAACACAAGGAGUAACUGCUGUCACUCCUGGUGUACAAUCGAGGAAUCCUCGGCUUGCUUGUCAGCAACUGCAAUCUGAUGCAGUUCCAGAAAAUAGUAUGGUACAGCCACAAGACGAUGUCAAAAGUGGAGUCUACCAACUGAUUGAUUUUUGCUAAGAGAAGUCCCAUUAACAUGGGUCCAGUUUGCAAAACAUUAAGGAGCCAGGUCAGUAUUAAAGUCAGAUAAAACUGUACCAGAAAUAGUGGUUUUUGAUAAGAGAAUUCAGUAUCACUUCAAUACAAAACAAAAACAAGUGUUAUUAAUAAUGAAACAUGAUGCCAAAACUGUUCAGAUUGUCAGCCUGUGACUUGAAUGCACAUCUGAGCUUGCUAUAUUGUAAACUGUUCAAUGUGUCUUGAAUGUGCAUUUCAGUGCAGUGUAGUAUGGAAGUGUUUACAUUCUUAGAAAUGUGAUUUUUUCAGAUAUAUAGAUCACCUAAAAUUCUCUGAAGCAUUGUUCUUCUCUUUGUUCUUUGUAUAUAGACUGGUCCCUCCUCAUGGCCCCAGAGAUGACAGUACAAAGGGUUUAAAUCACAGGAUCUUGCUGGCCAUGCAUGUGAUCCUCCCUGGCUGUCACAACAGAUUUGAUAGUUAGGAUAACAUAAUCCAUUGCCUGUCGUUAAACAUGAAGGUGACAUUCUUCAGGAUGUAGGUUCAAAAUAUAUAUGUAUGUGCGCUCAUAUGUAUAUUCAAGUCACAGGCAAAUUGUCAUAACCUCUUCUGUUAUUAAAUAAAAUGCACUUUGGUUUUACAUUAAACUAAAAUAGAGUAAAAUUUUUUGUUGGAAAUUCUGAUUUCUUGUAUGUUUUUCAAACUGCUGUGGCAGCAUAAACUUUCAUGUGACUUGAAGUACUCACUACAGAAAUUGUGCUGUAUACAGCAGUAAACCGAAAGUAUUGAUACAUGAAUCGUUUUUGUUAUUGACUGAUCGUAGAGAAAGUGAAUCCUUAUUAGAAUUGAAUUAUUUAGAAGGAUUAGGAAAGUCUAGAGGUUUGUUAUACUGAAGGGGGGAUGUGAUUCAUGCAUAUUUAUGCUAGAACAUUGUUCCUGUUCAGAAAUAACUUGUGGGCAUUAAAAUAAGUUUGUACUAUACCAAGUUUUUCUUUAUUUAGUUAUUUUUUUCUAUUUUUCUACCUACUUUUUCUUGUUCAAGUUCAUACUAGAAGAUGGAUUUUUCCUUUGUUCUAUGGAAGAGAGUGAAUAAGAAUCUUACACAGUGCACACAUAGGCAUGCAGUUCAUGGCUGUUACAUUUCUAUCUUAGUACUGUUCGUGUAGUUGACUACUUAUGUACUCUGACGUGGGAACUUUCCAGUUUGUGGUUGGGGUUAGUGCGGUCUGUAUUUUCCUAUUGCAUGUGUAGCAUGUGAAAAACCAGACUUAUCCUAGUUAGGUGUUUAGUGAAACUAUGCUGUUGACUGCGUAAUUAAAGGGUGGGCUGUGCUAGCCCUUAUAGAGCAGUCAUCAGUCUGUUAAAUAUGAUUAUAUGCAAUGUUGCUAACGUGUAUUUUACAACUUCUGCUUUGCAAACCGUGACGUAUCAAGGCUCUGUCUUACCACCAGAAAAUAGCUGUACCAUUAGGUAGGCCACACAGUGGCAUGUGUCAAGACAUGUAACAGUCAAGACCCGAUGUCUGCGACAUGACGCAAAGAAAGGAGCACAGUUGAAACGAACGAGAUAAAAACUGCCGCAUACUGGUCUGAGUAAUGAUGCUGACGAAUCAUGAAUGAAGCAAGACUGCGUCUUUUAUCUCAUGUCUUGAUGCUUGGUUGACAAAGUUGCUGUGUGGCCGCCCUUACACCUUCUCUUGGAGCAGCCCUUGCAUAGCAAUAUAAUAGUACUUCUGAAGUAGCUACAAGUGUACAGUAUUUUGUAUCUUGCAGCAGUCUUUGCUUUGCAGUGUAACCUGACUGUAGAAGUAACCGCAAAGCAAUAUAAUAGUACUUCUGAAGUAGCUACAGGUGUACAGUAUUUUGUAUCUUGCAGCAGUCUUUGCUUUGCAGUGUAACCUGACUGUAGAAGUAACCACAAAUUUACACUGUUUACAUCUCCUGGAGUGAUCUUUGCAUUGCACUAUAACCUGAUUGCUGA